UUGCGAUUAAAAAGCUCGUAGUUGGAUCUCGGCAGCCAGGGGGCGGUUCGCUCCAAAGCGUGACUGCCCCAUUUGGCUGUGUGAUUGGCGGAGGUUUCGGGGUGCUCUUCGUUGAGUGUCCCGGUGCGCCGUCAGGUUUACUUUGAAAAAAUUAGAGUGCUCAAAGCAGGCUUUUCAGGCUUGGAUAUUCGUGCAUGGAAUAAUGGAAUAGGAACUCGUUCCUAUUUUGUUGGUUUUCGGGAAUCGAGUUAAUGAUUAAUAGGGACAAUUGGGGGCAUUAGUAUUCAAACGACAGAGGUGAAAUUCUUGGACCGUUUGAAGACUAACUACUGCGAAAGCAUUUGCCAAGAGUGUUUUCAUUAAUCAAGAACGAAAGUUAGAGGUUCGAAGGCGAUCAGAUACCGCCCUAGUUCUAACCCAUAAACGAUGCCAGCUAGCGAUCCGCUGAGUUGCAUUUGUAGGCUCUGCGGGAAGCUUUCGGGAAACCAAAGUCGUUUGGGUUCCGGGGGAAGUAUGGUUGCAAGCUGAAACUUNAGGAAUUGACGGGAGGGCCCC
rnacentral:rRNA from 1 species